rnacentral:rRNA from 1 species
CGUAACAAGGUUUCCGUAGGUGAACCUGCGGAAGGAUCAUUACACACUGCGCCAUGCUUGCAGAUGUUCGCAUUUGCAGGUAUAGCCAGCUAACCCUUGUCUAUUUCUACCAUUUGUGAAUCCCUCGGCGGGGACGCCUGCCGCUGGGACCCCUGAACUCUACUGUAUAAAAAGUAUCAAACCUUUCUGAAUCCUAUUAUAAUUAUUACAACUUUCAACAAUGGAUCUCUUGGUUCUGGCAUCGAUGAAGAACGCAGCGAAAUGCGAUAAGUAGUGUGAAUUGCAGACUUUAGUGAAUCAUCGAAUCUUUGAACGCACAUUGCGCCCCUUGGUAUUCCAUUGGGCAUGCCUGUUCGAGCGUCAUUUAACCCUUCAAGCAUUGCUUGGUGUUGGGUGUUUGUCUGCACCGACGGUGUAGACUUGCCCUAAAAGCAUUGGCAGUAGUUUUGCCGGCCUCUCGCGCAGCACUUUGCGCUUUCUGAGGAAACCGGUAGGCUUGACUUCCACCAAGAUCUUACUAUUUGACCUCGAAUG